GACGAACGCUGGCGGCGUGCUUAACACAUGCAAGUCGAACGAUGAAGCUGGAGCUUGCUCCGGUGGAUUAGUGGCGAACGGGUGAGUAACACGUGAGCAAUCUGCCCUUGACUCUGGGAUAACUGCGGGAAACUGUAGCUAAUACCGGAUACGAGGCUCGAAGGCAUCUUCGGGUUUGGAAAGAAUUUCGGUCAAGGAUGAGCUCGCGGCCUAUCAGCUUGCUGGUGAGGUAAUGGCUCACCAAGGCGACGACGGGUAGCCGGCCUGAGAGGGUGACCGGCCACACUGGGAAUGAGACACGGCCCAGACUCCUACGGGAGGCAGCAGUGGGGAAUAUUGCACAAUGGGCGAAAGCCUGAUGCAGCAACGCCGCGUGAGGGAUGAAGGCCUUCGGGUUGUAAACCUCUUUUAGCAGGAAAGAAGCGAAAGUGACGGUACCUGCAGAAAAAGCACCGGCUAACUACGUGCCAGCCGCCGCCGUAA
rnacentral:rRNA from 1 species